UUUGGCCCCCAAUCAAGCAAGGCUACCCGCUGAACUUAAGCAUAUCAAUAAGCGGAGGAAAAGAAACCAACAGGGAUUGCCUUAGUAACGGCGAGUGAACAGGCAAGAGCUCAGAUUUGAAAGCCUUUCGGGGCAUUGUAUUCUGAAGCCUUGAUUCUGAGAACCGGUACCUAAGUCUUCUGGAAAGGAGCGCCAAGGAGGGUGAUAGCCCCGUACGGUACUGACCUCAUUGUAGAAUCUUGGCGUGGAGUCGAGUUGUUUGGGAAUGCAGCUCAAAUGGGUGGUAUGCUCCAUCUAAAGCUAAAUAUCUGCGAGAGACCGAUAGCGAACAAGUACUGUGAAGGAAAGAUGAAAAGAACUUUGAAAAGAGAGUGAAAAAGUACGUGAAAUUGUUGAAAUGGAAGGAUAGGCCGCUAACCACGUAGAGCCGUGUCUGAGGGGAGGAUAAAAGCUGUAGAAUGUGGCUCUUCGGAGUGUUAUAGCUGCAGUGCAUACUCCCACUCGGGCGCGAGGACCUAAGGCUCUGCUAAAUGGUGGUCUAUCAC
rnacentral:rRNA from 1 species